UACGAAGGGUGCAAACGUUGCUCGGAAUCAUUGGGCGUAAAGCGCACGUAGGCGGCCCCAUAAGUCGGAUGUGAAAUCCCACGGCUCAACCGUGGAAGUGCAUCCGAAACUGCGGGGCUCGAGUAUGGAAGAGGGUCGCAGAAUUCCCGGUGUAGAGGUGAAAUUCGUAGAUAUCGGGAGGAAUACCAGUGGCGAAGGCGGCUCACUGGCCCGGUACUGACGCUGAGGUGCGAAAGCGUGGGGAGCAAACAGG
rnacentral:rRNA from 1 species